CCUCUAAAGAGCCGUUCGAGACUAGGACGUUGAUAGGCAUGGUGUGUAAGCGUUGUGAGGCGUUGAGCUAACAUGUACUAAUGACUCGAGAGGCUUAACCAUACAACCCAGAUGGGUUUU
rnacentral:rRNA from 1 species